rnacentral:tRNA from 1 species
CGGCCAGGCAAGCAGUGGCCGCUCGGGGGUAGUUCGGGGCAUUGCGCCGCCGUUCUUGCGGAAGGUCGCCGGUUCGAUCCCGGCCUGGCCACC